rnacentral:lncRNA from 1 species
AGAAAUUCUCAGAGCUUUCGGGAAAUGACAUAUUCAAGGGGGAUGUGCCGCCUUCAUCUGCCGAGAAAUCGCUGAGCGGGGCUAAACUACGAGAGAUGAGCGGCAGCAACAUCUUUGCCGAUGGGAAGGUAGAAUCUAGAGACUACCUUGGGGGCGUACGGAAGCCGCCGGGUGGGGAGAGCAGCAUUGCAUUGGUAUAAUUUGUUAGGGUCCUAACAGAGUCAUUCUCAUAUACUGUCCUUCGUUUUGUUAAUUUAGUGGGGAUGUGUUAUUAUAUAUAUUAUUUGACCAUGUAUUUUCUGGGUUUUGGUCAUUCGUGUCUUUAGGCUUCUUGAUGUCUUCUUUGACUGGGAAAAGGACCAUCUGCUAAUUGGUUGUAUGUCCAUAAUCCUGUGUUUUCCUCCGUGUUUGGUUUAAUGGAAGUUUGGACUGUUUACCUGAUUUAAUUAAAACCCGUAUCAAUGAUGGUCCUAACAUCAUCGUAACUUCUAAUUAUGUCAUGUCUCAGAAUGAAGAAAUCCCUUCACUUGUUUAUCUAUCCUUUCCACCAAUUUGGCCCAAAUCCUGGGGCUUGCAAGACAAUGAUAAGCCCCCCAAAAUAUUUGACGCCGCAGAGAUAUUUCGAUACAAAAUAAAGAAGGGCUAUUUCACUAAUUUCUUUUAAUUGAUACUUUGUGUAUGUGCUGCUAUAGCUCUGCUUGCUGCAUAUAUGAUUUGCAAACUAGUGUGAAGAAAUGGAUUUAAUCACAAUAAAUAUGAUGACAGAACUAUGUUUUUCCCAUAUAUGAAAUCCCAUAUCAAUUUGGUUUGUGGCUUUAUGUUUUGCGGCAUCUAACAUUGUUUACAUGUGGACUUUCCAGAAAGCCUUGUUCAGAGUAUAAGAUGAAGGAGAUCACAGGUAGUGGAAUUUUUGUGGGUGAAGGGGAAAGUGACGCAUCAGAAGCUGGCAGUGCCAACCCUUCUGCAAAUAAAACAGGAUUGCGGAUGUAUCAGGUAUCAUUUUAAUUUUUAUAUGAACAUGGAUAGUUGGUGAAUUUCACAAAUUAUAUGCGUUAUUGCGGUGGAUCCCUGCUAACAAGCACUGUGAUUGUUUUUGGAAAUUGCAGCAAGCAAUUGCAGGAAUCAGUCAUAUCUCCUUUGGUGAUGAGGAGGCUAUUUCUCCAAAAAAGCCCACUAGUUUACCAGAGGUGGCCAAGCAGCGGGAGCUAAGUGGAACUCUGGAAAGUGAAGACUCUCAACUGAAAAAGCAGCUUUCGGAUGCCAAGUGCAAGGAGCUUAGUGGUCAUGACAUAUUUGCUCCACCACCAGAAAUCAAACCCCGGCCAAUAACUCCUCGCAUAAUGGAGUUGAAAGGGAGCAUAGAUAUUGGGGAACCCGCUGCACAUGUAUGCACCACUAUAAGUUGCUAAACUUGAAUUCUUGGGGGGAAAUGUUUUUCAAAAUCUAGUUAGAUGUCUUUAAUAAAUUAUGGAUCAUACUUCAUCUAUGCAAAAUGAUUAGUGCUGUGAUUCCACAACAAAGGGAAACUGAGGUUAAUUGUGUCAUAGAAUGAAUAAUGGAGACUAGACAUUAUAAUUGACUUUUUGAGAUGCUAGUCCAUGUUGCUUGUGCAUCUGAAAUAUCUAAGUUGCUUGUGUUGUGGCUUUGUUUCUAACAGGGUGAUGGAAAGUCUAAUGGGGAACCACUUAAAACAGCAAAGAAGAUUUACAACCAGAAAUUCUCAGAGCUUUCGGGAAAUGACAUAUUCAAGGGGGAUGUGCCGCCUUCAUCUGCCGAGAAAUCGCUGAGCGGGGCUAAACUACGAGAGAUGAGCGGCAGCAACAUCUUUGCCGAUGGGAAGGUAGAAUCUAGAGACUACCUUGGGGGCGUACGGAAGCCGCCGGGUGGGGAGAGCAGCAUUGCAUUGGUAUAAUUUGUUAGGGUCCUAACAGAGUCAUUCUCAUAUACUGUCCUUCGUUUUGUUAAUUUAGUGGGGAUGUGUUAUUAUAUAUAUUAUUUGACCAUGUA